rnacentral:rRNA from 1 species
UACGGAGGGUGCGAGCGUUGUCCGGAAUCACUGGGCGUAAAGGGCGCGUAGGUGGCGACCCAAGUCGAUGGUGAAAGCUCGCCGCUCAACGGCGAGUCGGCCACUGAUACUGGGUUGCUGGAGCACUGUAGAGGCAGAUGGAAUUCCGGGUGUAGCGGUGGAAUGCGUAGAGAUCCGGAAGAACACCGGUGGCGAAGGCGGUCUGCUGGGCAGUUGCUGACACUGAGGCGCGACAGCGUGGGGAGCAAACAGG